AACGGCCAUACCACAUGCUGAAUAUACCUGUUCUCGUUAGAUCACCGAAGUCAAUCAUCAUGGGGGCGCGGUCAGUACUUGGGAGGGUGACCAUCUGGGAACACCGCGUGCCGUU
rnacentral:rRNA from 1 species